AGCAGCCGCGGUAAUUCCAGCUCCAAUAGCGUAUAUUAAAGUUGUUGCAGUUAAAAAGCUCGUAGUUGAAUUUCGGGAUCAGUAGGUUGGUCAUACCUCUGGUAUGUACUGGUCUCACUGAUUCCUCCCUCUUGAAGAACUGUAAUGUCAUUAAUUUGAUGUUGCGGGGAAUCAGGACUGUUACUUUGAAAAAAUUAGAGUGUUUAAAGCAGGCUCACGCUUGAAUACAUUAGCAUGGAAUAAUGAAAUAGGACGUAUGAUCCUAUUUUGUUGGUUUCUAGGAUUGACGUAAUGAUUAAUAGGGAUAGUUGGGGGCAUUAGUAUUCAAUUGUCAGAGGUGAAAUUCUUGGAUUUAUUGAAGACUAACUACUGCGAAAGCAUUUGCCGAGGAUGUUUUCAUUAAUCAAGAACGAAAGUUAGGGGAUCGAAGACGAUCAGAUACCGUCGUAGUCUUAACCAUAAACUAUGCCGACUAGGGAUCGGAUGAUGUUAAUUUUUUAAUGACUCAUUCGGCGCCUUA
rnacentral:rRNA from 1 species